rnacentral:sRNA from 1 species
UAUCCACGGCGUGCUCCGGCACCCUGGAGGCCGCGGUCGAGGAUGGUGGUUCAUUGCUUUCUUCAGCCAUGGUGAUAUUGAAGU